AAUAAUUACCAGCUUUGUCUACUUUUCUGCUACUUAAAUCUGGCGAUUGGACCAAAAAUUAUAUUCGGAUCAAAAGUUACAGCAGUUUACUUAAACCGCAUCAGCAACAUUUUUUAAAACAUUUUUGCAAGCAACUUCCAUUUUGACCACUAUCGCAACAAGUUAGACAAAAAGUUAGAGCGUUGGGAUAUUCACCUAUUUAUACUUCUCUUGUCAAGGGUGUCGUAAGGAUUGGACCAAAAUGCAGCGGAAGACGAAGCUUAUGACAGAACCACCCACCAAACCAGGACCAAGCAGUGGAGGAAGGAGCAGCAGAGGAGCUAUAAAGAGUCAUGGACUUGGGAGGAGAUCCUGGAUGGGGCAGGACCAUGGCACCAGGUGGGGGAGUACCGGCACCCUAAGGAGGAGCUGGAGGCAGCUAAGGCGGAGCGGCGCCAUUACGAGGUGAUAUACGCAAGAAUGGGCAAGUACGACAGGCAGCCCCCCCAAAAUAUUUGAGGGGGCACACGGGUAGUAUGGCUAAGUCAGGUCGUAGACCUGAGCCAACUCCCCGUGCUUAUUAUGGGGAGCAACGGAUCAUGAAGGCACCGAGCUAUGUGUAAAUAUGCACGGCAGCCAUCAUGCCUCAGCACAGCCCAGUUUGCCCUGUGCCAGCACUCCGCCCAUGCCGGGCUACGGUAACAAUCCAGCCAGAACGGGUUGUGCAGGUUGUGCGCUCUAGACCUCCAGUGUGUAGUCAAGGCCUCGUGUAUCCAGUUCCUGUUCCUCGCACUAGCCUUGAGGUGCGUGUCACUAGUCUGGCGUCUCCAAAGCCAGCCCCACGCAUCAGGUCUCUAGUGCACCUGCCCAGUCCAGUACGUCCUGUUCCUGCUCCUCGCACUAGCCUUGAGGUGCGCGUCCCUAGUCUGGCUCCUCCAAAGCCAGCCUCACGCACCAGGCCUAUAGUGCGCAGUCCCCAUCUAGAGCUUCUGGCAACAGUGCCCCGUCUAGAGCUUCCGGCGACAGUGCCCCGUCUAGAGCUUCCGGCAACAGUGCCCCAUCUAGACCUUCCGGCGACAGUGCCCCGUCC
rnacentral:lncRNA from 1 species